rnacentral:lncRNA from 1 species
AUCCUACACUAAUGGGACUUCAAAAAAGAUGUAUUUAUUGAGGGAAAAUGCAUAAAGCAAACACAGAGCCCACAGGGAAUAAUUUUUUAAAAUUCACCGUGACUUGUGGAAGUUUUCAAUGCAACUCUCAAUUACUGUCAGGUCAAUCAUAUUUUUAAAAUAAUAAAAACAUAGAUUUGGACAACACCAUUAACAGGCUUGAAUUAUGGGAUAUCUGUGGAACUGCAAGCUCAUUUAUUAAUAGAAAAUGUGCAUUCUCCUUAGGCACACAAGGAAUAUUGCCCAAAACACUGCUUACUAGCCUCAACAAGUCUCAAAUAACUUCUAUGGGAUGGACCAGUGUUCCCCUUUACAUACUUUGUCUGACAUUUUUUCCUGUCUGCUUUUAAAAUUUCUAUUUAUCACUGGGAUUGAGCGAUUUGAUUAUAAUGAGACAUGAUGUAAUUUUCUUCAAUGGUACUUGUGCUUGAGGUACAUUGAACUUCUUGCAUCUGUAGGUUACUAGUUUACAUCGAAUUUGGAAAAAAAUGUUGUCAUUAUUUUUCCAAACAUCUUUUUUAAUGCACUACCCUCAUUCCUCAUGUUUUCUUCUGUCCUUUGGGGACUUCAAUUAAACAUAUAUUAAGCCACUUGAAGUUGUCCCACAGAUCACAGAUAAUUUGGCUUAAAUUUUUUUAAAUCCUCUUUGCUUUUGGUUUCAUUUUGGAUAGUUUAUAUUGCCAUGGUUUCACAAUGAAUAAUCUUUUCUUCUUUAACAUCUAAUCUGCCAUUAAUCCCAUGCAGUGCAGUUCUCAUUUUAUACGUUCUAGCUUUCACCUCUAGAACAGUGAUCCAGAGUGUUGUUAUAUCUUCUGUGCCUCAAAUUAGCUUUUACAAUACGUGGAAUGUAGUUUUGAUAUUGUUUAAUGCCCUUGUGUCCGUUCUGGAUCAGUUUUAAUAGACUCAUUUGCCUCCUUAUGGCUCCUAUUUUCCCACUUGUUUGUGUGCCUAAUAUUUCUGAUUGGUUGUCAAAAAUUGUUGUCUUCUCUGGUGUUGGAUAUUUCUGUAGUCCUAUAAAUAUUCCUGAGGAUUUCACAGAACUGACAAAAGACAUGAAUCCACAGGUAUAUGAAGAGUUGAUUUAUGACGAGCUGCAUAAAUAAAAAGAAGAAAUCCACACCUGGGUAAACCUUAUUCAGGGAGGCAGAUAAGAUAAAAUCUUAUUCUGAGAUGCAGUUAUUUAAGAACAGAGUUUUAAAAUGUUUAUAGAUGUAAGGGGUAGAAGUGCAGAUUUCUUCCACGCAUAUAUUGCAUAGUGGUGACAUCUGGGCUUUUAGUGUACCCAUCGCCUGAAUAGUGAACAUUGUACUGAAGAAGUAAUUUUUCAACUCUCACCCCCUUCCACCCUCCCAUCUUUUGGAGUGUCCAGUGUCAUCUUAUUCCACUCCAUACGUCCAUGUGUAUACAUUGUUUAGCUCCCACUUAUACUUGAGAACAUGUGGUAUUUGACUUUUUGUUUCUGAGUUAUUUCACUCAGGAUAAUGGCCUCUAUCCAUGUUGCUCAAAAGAUAUGAUUUCAUUCUUUGUUAACGGACGGGUAGUAUUACCUUGUGUAUAUAUGCUACAUUUUCUUUAACCAGGCCUCCACUGAUGGAUGCUUAGGUUCAUCCAUUUUCUUUUCUGUUGUGAAUAGUAUUGUGAUAAACAUAAAGUGCAGGUGGUUUUUGAUAUAAUUAAUUCUUUCCCUUUGGGUAUAUACCGAGUAGUGGGGUUGCUGAACCAAAUAGUUGUUCUAUUUUUAGUUCUUUGAGAAAUCUCCAUACUGUUUUCCAGAAAGAUUACACUGAUUUACAUUCCCCCCAACAGUACUUCAGCAUUCCCCUUUCUCCACAUCUUCACUAAAAUCUCUUACUUUUAGACUUUAAUAAUAGCCAUUCUGACUUGUCUAAGAUGGUAUUGCAUUCAGAUUUUAAUUUGCCUUUCUCUGAUAAUUGGUGAUGUUGAGCAUUUUUUUCAUGUUUUUUGACCACUUUUGUGUCUUCUUUGUAAAAAUGGCUGUUCAUAUCCUUUGCCCACUUUUUAAUGGGCUUAUUUGGUUUGAGUUCCUUGUAGAUUGUGGAUAUUAGCCCUUUGUCAGAUGCAUAGUUUGCAAAUAUUUUCCCAUUCUGCAGGUUGUCUAUUUACCCUGUUGAUAGUUUCUUUUGCUGUGCAGAAGGUUUCUAGUUUAAGUUCCAUUUGUCUAUUUUUGUUUUUGUUGCAAUUGCUCUUGAGGACUUGUUCAUAAAUUCUUUGCCUAGGCCAAUGUCCAGAAGAAUUUUUCCUAAGUUUUCUUCUAGGAUUUUUAUAGUGUUUGGUCCUAUGUUUAGGUCUUCAAUCCCUCUUGAGUUAACUUUUGUAUAUGGUGAGAGGUAUUUGUCCAGUUUCAUUCUGCUGCAUAUGCCAAUCCACUUUUCCCAGCACCAUUUAUUGAAAAGGGUGUCAUUUCCUCAGUGUCAUUUCCUGAUUUUUAUUGACUUUGUGUCUUUAUUUCUGAGUCCUCUAUUCUGUUCCAUUAAUCUAGAUGUCUAUUUUUGUACUACUACCAUGCUGUUUUGGUUACCAUAC